CGCUCGUGGACGGGGCGCGAGCGCGCGGGGGACGUAGGGCGACGACCUGGGCCUCCCCGGCGCUCCGGCUCCGCUCAGGGCGCCCGCUCAGGGGCCUCUGGCGCGAGGCCCCCUUCGUGGUCAAGAUGGCGGCGCCCAGGCGGGCCGCGGCGAGGUGAGCUGGAGCCGGGCCCGGAGAGGGGCGAGUCUGCCACGCCCAGGACUUGGACCCCGGGCUGGUCUCCCGUCUCUCGGGGAGCGGCGGGUUGAUGGGCGCUACGGGAUAAGGAAAAGGAUGUGAAGCUCACUGAAGAGGCUUGGGUUGGGAGUGCUGGAGGAGUGUACAGGUGGGGAAAAUGUACCAGCGUGUAUGCCUACUGGGACCACGUUUUCCAGAACAGUUAAGCCCAGUGUCAACUGUGCUGUCCCACCUUCCUCGACAUCUGCAGAUAUUUAUUUGAAUUUUGUUGAAUUGUUCUCAUCAAUAGGGUGUCCAGAGAAGGUAACUACUUUGCCCACGUCCUAAACUGGGUUCGGUGGCUGGAAGAUGCUCCAGAGAGACGAGGCUGCGGCGGAGGAGGUGGCGGCGGCCGAAUCGGCAACGGCGCUAGGGUGGAGAGAAGGCGGCGGCGGCGGCGGCGGCGUGCGGGGCCCAACGGUGUAAACAGCCCCGGAGGCGGCGGAGGCGGUGGCCAAGACCCCGAGGGGGAAGCGGCGGCUGAGCCAGGGUCGCGCCUCCGUUGGAAGCCUGGGCUGAGUGCAGCAGAGGGGUUCUGCGGCGGGCGCGAGCGGACGUCCUAGACCUCGCCUCCCUCCCUCGCCCCAGGAGACUCCGGUCUUCUCUUCCCUGUCUUCCCCAGCAGUCCUUUUCGGAUGUCAUUCUUUUUACUAGUGAAGUUCUUAAAUGAAACUGCUAUCGUCAGUAUCCCAAAUCUACCAGAGGCCCAUUAAGAAUAGACUCACCAGCUUUAAGUGGCAGAUCAGUUUCUGAUUUCACCGAGCCUAGCAUCCUUUGUAAAAAAUUGUAUUAUUAAAUGUAGAGUGUGGAAAUAGCCCUGAAGUUAUUUUUAAAAUGAAGGGCUCAAUGAGUGUUGGAAAUAGUUAUUUCAUUUUUCAAGUUGCAUGACCUCUAAUGUCAGAUUGAGCAGAUCUAGAACAUUUUUGCCCAUCCUGUUUGGCAGAAUGCUUCUUAAGCGUUUUGAUAGCGGCUCACAUUCAUCACUAUUCAAGUUGGCUUAAAAACAGUUUGAAAACUUUAGAAAAAAGACAUUAUGAGAACAACUAGGAAGCUGUUUUGAUGAAGUCACUGUUAAAUACCUUUUAAAAUAGGCUUCACAUGUUUAAUGUAUCAAAAUAAAGUUGGCGGGAGUCUUGUAAAAAGGAUUAUUUAGGAAUUUGAGUAGUCUUAAGAGUUAUGUAGCUAUUUUGGGAAAAACAUUCUUUUUCUGUUAACAAACGUUUACAACUCCUGCGAUGUGAGAAUUACCGAGGUUUACUGUGGGAUUAACACAGGAACUCAUUUUAUUUGAGCUACUACAUGGAUGUAGAAGUGGUAAAUUGUUCAGGUUAGCGUAUAUCAGUAUGUAGAAGAAAAAAAAAAAAGUCUGCAUAAAUUCCCCUGGAAGGGGGAUAUGGUCAGAGAUGGCAAUUUGAAAACAGUGAGUCACCAAAAGUAAAAGUAAAUUACAAGCUGUUUUGGGGGUCUUCAAGAGAGAUUUUAUAGAUUGAACAACAACAGCAGCAAGGAUAAAAUAUAACGCUGUCAUGUAGACUGCAGCCUGAAAAGAAAGCAUUGCAGAAAAGCCACAUCAUCCUGAAUUUAUAUUUCCGUGCAUUUGAACAGAUUGGAGAGCAGUAAAGUUGUUUUAAGAGUGAGUGAUUUAAGUCAGCCAGCUUGUGAAUAAUACGAGAUAUUUUUGCAUUUACAUUAACUUAUGUCCAUAAAUAACAAACUUUAACAAUGAACAAAAUCCAUAAUCCUGAUAAUGCUAAGAAAACUGGAAAGAUACCUUUACCUUGAAAAGACAGGAUAAAGAAGACAGCAUAGAAAUUUAGGGAGAUUGCAGUUUUGGAAAACUUACAUUAACAUUUAUUAGCUGCUACAGCUUUGAAAUGUGAUGAUUUAAAGAAAGAAGUAGACUGUUGAUUUCUAAAAGGUAAUGUGUUGGCUGAAAGAGAAGAGAAUCUUGUUGAGACCUAAAGUGUUCUUUUAAGGAUACAUUUCAAUGUCAUUUCAAAAAAUAAACACAUUUCCCAUAACAAAACAGUGAGGUUAAUGGAAUAAUGCAGGUGAAAGCUUUUUGGCCCGAAGGAGUUCCAUCCUUUGGAACAAAGUUUUAUUGUUGAACACACCAUGACCCAGGCCUGUGAGUGCCAGCACAGUGGCUGUUUUUACAAGAUCUGGUACAAUAUUCACAGUAGUUCUGGCCUUAGCACUAGGCAAGGAUCAUUCUUUUUGUAUCUUCCUGAUUGCUUCCUCUACAGAAAUGGGAUAAUCCCUCCUCUUCUAAACUGGAAAGUAGUUUCUUCCCUCAAUAAAACUAGUUUCUUCUCCAGGUUGAGCCUUUCCAACUCUUAGAGGUCUAAAAUGAAUGAUAUGAAACAUACUGUAUUUGCAUCUAUUUUUAUUUAAGAGUUAUCUAAGGAGAUUUAUCUAAUUAAAUAGGAAUUUCCUAAGAGAUGCCAAAAUAAACAAUCAACAAGUUUUCUUUAAAGAUCAUAUAUAUUAUAUAACAAGAUCCACCUAAGAGUUAAAAUAUAAGUAGGUAUACAAUUUAACUAUUUGAAGAUAAUUUUUCUUCUUACCACUGAAGCAAUAAGCAGGUAGUAGUACAAUUUGGGGAAAACAAUAUUUCUGGCUUUUGUUUGUUUUAUUUUAAUUUGUGAUAUUCAUGAGAUCUUUUGUGAAGCCUUUGGGUAUAUAGUAAAAUUCAUGGGUUUUUAACUUUGUAUUGACUCGUAUUUUUGUAGAUUUUAAAUUUUUCUUCUGGCUUUAAUUUAUACUAUCUCCUUUUACUUUUUCAUUUAGAAAUAAUGUAUUUUUCUCAGGAUUGCAAUCUCAGUGCAGUCCUCUACUUUUCUAUUUGUUGGACGUUCUCUUAGACGUCUACAUUUUUGUCUAGUUAGUACAUUUCUAGUUUUUUAUACAAUUGAUAAGAACUCUUUAAUCUUAUGAAUUCUUUAUAUUUACUCUUUGGAGACAAGACUUAUAGGGAUUUCCUUGGGCUUAAACUAGAAAGAAAAACGAAUUUGCAUAUGAAAUGUUGAAGGCUUUGUUACAAAGUGGGUUAACAUUAUAUGUAUGUUUGAAAUAAACUACUUCAACCAGAGCACCUAGCUGUUAACCUCCAGAUUAAUAUCUCUCAUAAAAUAUGUGCAUGCUUCCAACACAUUGGCAUUGCCUCCUAUUACUGCAUGUCCAGGAGAAAUGGUUUUGUCUUGUAGCAAAAGGCAUUAGCUCUUUGCACUUUUUUUUUUUUUUUUAAUGACAGCUAUCCAAAAAUCAAGCUGAACCCUUGUAUAUGAGGACAAUUUUUAGACAGGUCUAAUAUCCAGUUGUACCUUUCAGUCACUUAGAGAGAAGGCUUAGACUCCUGAAGCCCAAAGUCACAGGUUUUUAAGGAUUAUGGUGGUAUAUACCUCCAGUUUAUAGGAAAAAAAUGCGUUGUAGAAAAUCCAAGUUAAAUUAGGACUAAAAUCCAAGUUAAAUCUAGAACUAAAGUUUUACUGCCCCCAAUACUUGUAAACUCUAGGUUACUGCUCUGUUGUCCAUUUCAUCAGUUGCAGAAUAUUCAAGUUAGUCUUUCAGUGCUAACAAGAACAUAAAAAUGCAUUAUGUCUAAAAGCAGAACAUGAUUGCCAAGCCAGAUCUGCUCAUUACCUGAGAGUUUGGGGGGCCACCCAAGCGGCAUCUACUUGUUUGCUACUGACCUUCAGUUAGACUUGCUCAAGAAUUCUUACAAUGUAAUAACAUACACCCUUAUGUACUCUUGAGUUUAUUGAAAAGACACAGCAAAUGUGCACACACACACACAUACACACCAGCACACCAGCACGCACCUACUCUAGAGCCUAGAAUUUUAAGAGUCAGAACUUUUUAUUUGCUUCUGGAUUAAGAUGGACCCUGUAUUUCCUCAGCAUGCUAAUUAGAAACUCUAUAAACAAUUCAAAACCAGCUUCUUAAAAUUCUGUUUUACAAAAAUUGAUGUUAAAUGUUGUCCUCAGAGAGUUCUACUCUGACUUUUCAAAUUGUUUUUUUCUCCCUUCAUGGGAUAAACAGGGUUUUUUUUUGUUUGUUUUUUUAUCUCACAUGUAAAAAAUUCUAUCUUAAAAGCUGAUUUAUUAUUUCUUCCUUAGCAUGGAUGACAUGGGAACAAAGAUGAUAUUUCAUCAGUCUUGUUUUUAUUUAAGUUGAAAGGUUAUAUAUUUCUACUAUCUACUGCAAUAAUGCUAAAUAUUUUUAUAGUGCUUGUAAAUCUUAUGACAUUAUUUUUUUAGUUUGUAUUUAAGGCAUUUACUCAAAAGGGACCAUAUGCCUCAGUUCAUGUCACUCUAUCAUCAGUGUGUAUGGUCACUCUGUUUUCUAAUACUUUUAAGAUUGGUUUUGGCCCCGACGUUCCUCUGCCAGAUUUAUUUCCUUUAUUUUCCCCUAUAUAGCACCAUUUGGGCCAUUUAAUAAAUAAUUUCCCAACUCACCUUUCAUAGUUAUUUUAAACAUGUGUAUCUAUUUGAAAUACCGAAUUGUUUUGUAUUUUCUAAUUUUUGCAAAAGUAGUAUCGACUAAAAAUCACAUCCUAUUCUUUUAUUUUUUCUACACAAAAUUAUUGUUUUAAAAUUUGUCUGUGUUGCUCCAUAGAAAUUAUUGCUUCUGGCCACUGUCUAAUAUUCCACUAUAUGUUAAUACCAUAUUUUGCUUAUCCAUUACCCUGGUGAUACAUACUUAGGCUAUUUUCAACACUUUAUGUCCACCAUAGGCAUUAAUACACUCUUUCCACAUGUCCCCUUGAGUAACAGUGCAGAGUAACAGUGCAGCUGUGGAAUGGCUGAGGUAGAAGUCAUAUAUAUGCCUUAUUUCACAGAUUUCUCCCUGGAAUAGCUGUACCAUUUUCCCCUCACCAGCAAUACUUGGAAUUUCUCUCUUGCCAUAUCCUUUGUCACCACACGCUGUUAAUCUGCAUUUUUAAAAAUUAAUUAAUUAAUUUUUGGCUGCAUUGGGUCUUCGCUGCUACACUCAGGCUCUCUCUAGUUGCAGCGAGCGGGGUCUACUCUUUGUUGUGGUGCGCAGGCUUCUCAUUGCAGUGGCUUCUCUUGUUGCGGAGCACAGGCUCUAGGCGCGCGGGCUCAGUAGUGUGGCUCCCAGGCUCUAGAGCGCAGGCUCAGUAGUUGUGGUGCGCAGCCGUAGUUGCUCCACAGCAUAAUUUGCAUUUUAACUUCUGGAAAUUUGGCAUGUGUGGAUUCAUAUGAAGUAAGGUGUUUUAAUUCUGCAUUGCUCUGAUUCUAGACAAGUUAGGUCUUCAUAUACUUUCUUGCUAUUCAUGUUUUCCAUUCUGUGAAUUGCCUAUCAUGACUUUGCUCAUUUUUCUAUUGAGUAUUCUGUGUCUUUAGAGAUGUAGAAGUUUUUGUAUUCAGAUGUUGAGUCCUUUGUUGGGUUUUAGAUAAUGUAUAUGUCUUCUACCCAUCAACUGUUUUUCAGUCUGACUUUGGUAUCCUUUAUUGUACAUAAAAUUCUAAUUUUUUAUUAAAGUAUAAUUGAUUUACAAUAUUAUGUUAAUUUCAGGUGUACAACAUGGUGAUUCAAUAUUUUUAUAGAUUAUGCUCCAUUGAAAGUUACUAUAAAAUAUUGGCUAUAUUCCCCAUGCCCUACAAUAUAUCCUUGUAUCUCAUUUAUUUUAUACAUAGUUGUCUGUACUUCCUAAUUCCCAGUCUGUAUCUUGCCCCUCUCGCUUCCCUCUCCCCACUGGUAACCACUAGAUUGUUUUCUAUAUCUGUGAAUCUGUUUCUGUUUUGUUGUAUUCAUUCAUCUUAUUUUUUAGAUUCUACUUAUAAGUGAUAUCAUUACAGUAUUUGUCUUUGUCUGACUUAUUUCACUAAGCAUAAUACCCUCCAGGUCCAUCUAUGUUGUUGCAAAUGGCACAAUUUAACAUUUUUUAUGGCUGAGCAGUGUUCCAUUGUGUACAUAUGGCACGUACUCUUUGUUCAUUCAUCUGUUGAUGGACACUUAGGUUGCUUCCAUAUCUUGGCUAUUGUAAACAAUGCUGUUACAAACACUGGAUGUGGGUGCAUGCAUCUUUUCAAAUCAGUGUUUCUGUUUUCUUCAGAUAUAUACCUAGGAGCGGAAUUACUGGAUUAUAUGGUUGUUCUGUUUUGUUUUUGUUUUUAUUAACAUCUUUAUUGGAGUAUAGUUGCUUUACAAUGAUGUGUUAGUAUCUGCUUUAUAACAAAGUGAGUCAGCUAUACAUAUACAUAUGUCCCCAUAUCUUCUUCCUCUUGUGUCUCCCUUCCACCCUCCCUAUCCCACCCCUCUAGUGGCUACAUCAGUUAACAUUCCCACCAACAGUGUACCAGGGUUCCCUUUUCUCCACAUCCUCGCCAAGGCUUGUUAGUUUUGUUCUUUUUUAUGAUAGCCAUUCUGACAUGUGUGAGGUGAUCUCUCAUUGUGGUUUUGAUUUGCAUUUCCCUGAUGGCUAGUGAUGUUGAGCAUCUUUUCAUGUGCCUGUUGGCCAUCUGUAUGUUUUCUUUGGAAAAAUGUCUAUUCAGCUCUUCUGCCUAUUCUUUUAAAUCAGAUUUUUUAUAUUAAUAAAUUUAUAAUUUUAAUAUAGUUAAAUUCAUCACUUUUGCUUCAUACACUGUAUGCUUCUUUAUUUUUCAAAGAUCUAUUUCAUCUCUUACCCUGAAAUCACAAAUAUAUUACCUUGCAAUUUCUUUUAUUCUCUCUAGAUUUUAUUUUUCACAUUUAAAUAUUAAAACUAUUGUAUUUUAGUUUUGUACAUUAGGUGGAAUUAUAUAACAUAAUGGUUAAUAGAAUGAUUUCUGUGGGGUUUAAGUUCCAGCUCCACCAUGUACUUCUUAGGCUAGUCAUUUUAUCUCUCAUACUUCAGUUUUUCCACCUGUAAAAUGAGGAUAAUAGUUUAUGCCUUGUGGAUUUUUUUGUGAAGAUUAGGUGAGCUAUAUAGGACUGGGUACAACAUAAGUGAUAUCACUAGGUUAAGAUCCAGUCUCAUCUCUCUUUUGAAAAUGAGACUGUUUCCCCAAAAGCUGUAAUUCAACUUCCUCCAUUGGACUAUGAUUCCAUCUCUUUCAUGUGCCAACUUUCUAUCUGUAUAUAGCUCUAUUUCUAGGCCACCUGUUUGAUUUGUUUUCUUAUUUGCUGUUUCUUCCAAGGGCAUCACACAGUUCUUAUCUAUCAUGACUUCCCAAUAUAUCUUAAUGUGUAGGGCACAUUCUCCAUUUUGAGCUUAUUUUUCAAAACUACCUUAGCUGUAUGGAGAACUUUAUUCUUCCAGAUACACUUUAUUUUACUUUAUUUUAUUUUAAUUUUUUUAUAGGAGAUAGAGCAAUCUGCUCUUUUUUUUUCUUUUUUUCUUUUUUUUUGGCUGCAUUGGAUCUUCAUUGCUGCGUGUGAGCUUUGUCUAGUUGCAGCGAGCCGUGGGGCAGGAGGCUACUCUUUGUUGUGGUGCACAGGCUUGUCAUUGCAGUGUCUUCCCUUGUUGCAGAGCACAGGCUCCAGGCUCGUGGGCUUCAGUAGUUGUGGCUCGUGGGCUCUAGAGUGCAGGCUCAGCAGUUGUGGUGCACCAGCUUAGUUGCUCUGUGGCAUGUGGGAUCUUCCUGGACCAGGGAUUGAACCCAUGUUCCCUCCAUUGGCAGGCGGAUUCUCAACCACUGCGCCACCAGGGAAGUCCCCCAGAUACAUUUUAGAAUCACUUUUUUAUGCUGUCCCUCAAAAAAAAAAAAAAAGAGCUUGGCCUUUUAUUACAGUUGCAUUUAAUUUUAUAGAUUAAUAUAAGGACAUUUAUAUUAUUAUAGUAAGUCAUCUCAUCCAUACCUGUGAUAUAAAUUUCUUUUACUCAUGUGUCCUCUAAUAAAGUUUUCAUUAUGAAGAUUUUCUGCAUAAUUUAUUAGGUGAAACCCCAUACUCUAUAGGUUUUGUUACUAUGGUAAAUUCAUCUUGUAUUGUAUCUAGAUACUGAUGCUAUGGAGGAACACAAUUGAUCUUGGUGUAUUAAUUUUUUUCCAGCCCCUAUGUUGAGCUCUUUUCUUAGAUUUAAUAGUUUAUUGAUUUUCCUGUGUUUCCAAUAAAAUA